rnacentral:rRNA from 11 species
AGACCCGAAACCCGGUGAUCUAGCCAUGGGCAGGUUGAAGGUUGGGUAACACUAACUGGAGGACCGAACCGACUAAUGUUGAAAAAUUAGCGGAUGACCUGUGGCUGGGGGUGAAAGGCCAAUCAAACCGGGAGAUAGCUGGUUCUCCCCGAAAGCUAUUUAGGUAGCGCCUCGUGAAUUCAUCUCCGGGGGUAGAGCACUGUUUCGGCUAGGGGGCCAUCCCGGCUUACCAACCCGAUGCAAACUGCGAAUACCGGAGAAUGUUAUCACGGGAGACACACGGCGGGUGCUAACGUCCGUCGUGAAGAGGGAAACAACCCAGACCGCCAGCUAAGGUCCCAAAGUCAUGGUUAAGUGGGAAACGAUGUGGGAAGGCCCAGACAGCCAGGAUGUUGGCUUAGAAGCAGCCAUCAUUUAAAGAAAGCGUAAUAGCUCACUGGUCGAGUCGGCCUGCGCGGAAGAUGUAACGGGGCUAAACCAUGCACCGAAGCUGCGGCAGCGAC